AGGAGCCAGGGGGAAGAGCCAAAUGCCCUCUGAACAUUGAGGGGCCCCAGCCCCCUUAAAAUAAUGCAGGGGCCCCAAAGUGCCUUGGCCCCCAGGAGCUUAUACCCUCUGCCCGCUGGUGUGAAUGAAAUUUAGCUUGACAAGCUGGUAUUUCAGCCAAAAACCACAGUUGCAUAAUGCAACAGGUAAAGGCAAGGCAGCAAAAUGGUGCAGUGUCUUCCCUCACCGUAUCAUUGCAAUCACAAAGAGCUGGACAUGAAUAAAAAUCGCAUAUCAAAAGCCAAUCCCUCUCCUUUCUACACAGGCAGGAUUAAAACAACAUCAGUAGAGGUCCCAAGAAAGAACAUUCAUUCGCUGGAAAGGUGGCAAAUUAAAGCUUUAAAAAAAUCUGGAUGCUGGUUUUAA